UACGAAGGGGGCUAGCGUUGCUCGGAAUUACUGGGCGUAAAGGGCGCGUAGGCGGCCUUCUAAGUCAGACGUGAAAUCCCCAGGCUUAACUUGGGAACUGCGUCUGAUACUGGGAGGCUUGAGUGCGGGAGAGGGAUGUGGAAUUCCAGGUGUAGCGGUGAAAUGCGUAGAUAUCUGGAGGAACACCGGUGGCGAAGGCGGCAUCCUGGACCGACACUGACGCUGAGGCGCGAAAGCUAGGGGAGCAAACGGG
rnacentral:rRNA from 1 species